rnacentral:rRNA from 1 species
CACUCUAAGAUAUUGCUUAAAGCUUUUCCUGCUCCAUGAUUUUUAAAUAGCCGCAGUUUACUGUGCUAAGGUAGCGUAAUAAACAGCCUACUAAUUGUAGGAUAGAAUGAAAGGACAAACAGUUUUUAUCUAUAUUAUACCUACUAAAUAACCUAAAAUAAAAGUAAAAAUUCUUUUAAACCAAGAAAGACGAUAAGACCCUAUAGAACUUAACUAAAGUUAAACUGGGGUGGUUCAAUAACUAAAUCUUAUUAAAAAUUUAAACAAUUACCUUGACAAUAUAAGUACCAAGUUACCUUAGGGAUAACAGCAUAAUUUUUAUCUAAAGAUCUCAUUUACAUAAAAGAUUAUGACCUCGAUGUUGAAUUAAAAUUACUAAGAAAAGCAAAAGUUUAUGUAGUAAGUCUGUUCGACUUUUAAAAUUUUACAUG